rnacentral:rRNA from 1 species
AACGAACGCUGGCGGCAUGCCUAACACAUGCAAGUCGAACGAGACCUUCGGGUCUAGUGGCGCACGGGUGCGUAACGCGUGGGAACCUGCCCUUAGGUUCGGAAUAACUCCCCGAAAGGGGUGCUAAUACCGGAUAAUGUCUUCGGACCAAAGAUUUAUCGCCUUUGGAUGGGCCCGCGUUGGAUUAGCUAGUUGGUAGGGUAAAAGCCUACCAAGGCGACGAUCCAUAGCUGGUCUGAGAGGAUGAUCAGCCACACUGGGACUGAGACACGGCCCAGACUCCUACGGGAGGCAGCAGUGGGGAAUAUUGGACAAGGGGCGAAAGCCUGAUCCAGCAAUGCCGCGUGAGUGAUAAAGGCCUUAGGGUUGUAAAGCUCUUUUACCCGGGAUGAUAAUGACAGUACCGGGAGAAUAAGCUCCGGCUAACUCCGUG